UUCCCACACCUCCACCCAAACAGAGCCUAGAAGGACUGCUUCUACUCUACUUACUACGCAGCUCUUUGGUCUCAGCUUAUCUUCCUACCAAAUGUUAUAACAUGAUUCAGGUGUCGUUCGCAAAGUCCUUUUCACCUUCCAAUCAAAGGCUACGUUUCCCAAGCAAUAGAAACAGCUACUGGUUUUAUUUUUUGCCAAGAACCUGGGGAAUCGAUCGGUAAAAAAAUGCCUUAGAGAAGAAGACUCAGUUGAUGAGGAGAAGAGAUAUAAGUAAUAUAGCAAUAGUUGCUCGUGUUGAUCAUGGAAAGACAACUUUGGUUGAUGCUAUAUUUAGCAAUCCAAGGUAUUUCGUGAUAAUAUAUUUGUACAGGAGAGGAUAAUGGACUCAAAUGAUCUAGAGCUUGAAAGAGGGAUUACAAUACUCAGCAAAAUACAUCUAUGGCUUAUGAGCAUUCCAAAAUUAAUAUACUAGAUACUCACAGGACAUUGUGACUUUGAAGGUGAAGUGGAACGCAUCCUCAAUAUGGUGGAAGGGGUUCUUCUAGUGGUAGAUUCUGUUGAGGGACCAACACCUCAGACGAGGUUUGUUUGGAAGAAGGCUUUGGAGUUCGGCCAUGCUGUUGUUGUUGUUGUUGUCAAUAAGAUUGAUAAAUCUUCAGCUCAUCCAGAUUAUGUCAUCAAUUCCACCUUUGAACUAUUUACUGAACUAAUGCUACGGAUGAACAGGUAACAAAUAUUGAGUAUGAUGAACGCAAAGGACGAAUAGCCAUUGGACGCCUGCAUGCUGGAGUUCUACAGAAAGGAAUGGAUUGGUUCUCAACACCCCCAUUGGAUUAUAAUCUAGAUGAUUGCAUCGAGCAUAUUCAAAAAAGACGCGCUAGUGAAGGUCACUCCCAUGAGCAUCCGAAGCUUGCAAAGAAAACAAGAUGAACAUUUUAUAGGCUUAAUGCAUCAAGUGAAUCUGCCAGAAAACCAUCCUUGCAUAACUAAUCUCAAUGCAAUAGAAGCCUCAUACAUCUAAAUUUAAUGUCAUCUUAUUUUCCAUUCCAUGUAAGAUGAUCCUAUCUAGUCGAUUCCAUAUACUCCCUUGAGAUGUUCA